rfam:Delftia acidovorans SPH-1, complete genome.
UCGCAUCCGCCAAUCGGUACAGCCGUGUCGCGGAAGGUUCCACAAACCAGCUAAUGCCUCCUUCAGGGAGGCUGAGGUCAGCG